rnacentral:rRNA from 1 species
UACCUUUUACAGAGGGAUAGCCCAGAGAAAUUUGGAUUAAUACCUCAUAGUAUUACGACUCGGCAUCGAGAUGUAAUUAAAGUCACAACGGUAAAAGAUGAGCAUGCGUCCCAUUAGCUAGUUGGUAAGGUAACGGCUUACCAAGGCUACGAUGGGUAGGGGUCCUGAGAGGGAGAUCCCCCACACUGGUACUGAGACACGGACCAGACUCCUACGGGAGGCAGCAGUGAGGAAUAUUGGACAAUGGGCGCAAGCCUGAUCCAGCCAUGCCGCGUGCAGGAUGACGGUCCUAUGGAUUGUAAACUGCUUUUAUACGAGAAGAAACACUCCGACGUGUCGGAGCUUGACGGUAUCGUAAGAAUAAGGAUCGGCUAACUCCGUGCCAGCAGCCGCGGUAAUACGGAGGAUCCAAGCGUUAUCCGGAAUCAUUGGGUUUAAAGGGUCCGUAGGCGGUUUAAUAAGUCAGUGGUGAAAGCCCAUCGCUCAACGGUGGAACGGCCAUUGAUACUGUUAAACUUGAAUUAUUAGGAAGUAACUAGAAUAUGUAGUGUAGCGGUGAAAUGCUUAGAGAUUACAUGGAAUACCAAUUGCGAAGGCAGGUUACUACUAAUGGAUUGACGCUGAUGGACGAAAGCGUGGGUAGCGAACAGGAUUAGAUACCCUGGUAGUCCACGCCGUAAACGAUGGAUACUAGCUGUUGGAAGCAAUUUCAGUGGCUAAGCGAAAGUGAUAAGUAUCCCACCUGGGGAGUACGUUCGCAAGAAUGAAACUCAAAGGAAUUGACGGGGGCCCGCACAAGCGGUGGAGCAUGUGGGUUUAUUUCGAUGAUACGCGAGGAACCUUACCAAGGCUUAAAUGUAGAUUGACCGUUUUGGAAACAGAACUUUCGCAAGACAUUUACAAGGU